UAAAAAUUAUUUAACAAGACAUUCGGUCUUCUUGAUUCUUUUACUUUUGAGCUUUUCUCAUUGAAUAUCAAACUAACACUAUUUUGUGGUGAUGUUUAAAAAGCCACUCCUACACAUUGUGUUUAUAUUGUUAUUUCUACCUAUCAUCAUCAUCAUCGUCUUAAUAGUUGUGAUGAGAUGAUGGACGAAAUUUCUUUUAGUAUUGCAAGAACUUAUGUAAACGUUAUAUCACUUUUGUAUAUAUGUAUGUAUCAUGUUGAUUGAUAUAACAAUUCCACUGGUUAUCGAAAUGAUCAGGACUCACUAGUAGCACAUUUGUGAUACUACUUUCUUUAUUCCACUCAGCUUUGCAGGUAUAAAAGGAGCAGAUAAUACUGACAGAACGGACACCACCACCCUUUGCAACAUUUGCAUGCAGGGUUGUAAUUGUAAACAAACUUACACACACACACACACACACAUACAUAGUUCCAUACAAUGGUAUUCUUUCAGUUCCUACUAAGGCUGUGGUCACUUGUGCAUUGAAACUGGACCCAAAACCACAUGGCUGAAAAGGUUUUUUCACAGGGCCACCAAGACUGGUGGGAGAAAGGAAAGAAUGUACCCUCACACUGGAGACUUUGCUCAAAGGUUGAAAAGUAAACUUGUUAACCACAUUGUCAUGAUGGGUGAGCAAGCAUGGCUAACAAGUUGAUAGAUGUU